UACGUAGGUGGCAAGCGUUGUCCGGAAUUAUUGGGCGUAAAGCGCGCGCAGGCGGUCCUUUAAGUCUGAUGUGAAAGCCCACGGCUCAACCGUGGAGGGUCAUUGGAAACUGGGGGACUUGAGUGCAGGAGAGAAGAGUGGAAUUCCACGUGUAGCGGUGAAAUGCGUAGAGAUGUGGAGGAACACCCGUGGCGAAGGCGGCUUCCUGGACCGACACUGACGCUGAGGCGCGAAAGCUAGGGGAGCAAACGGG
rnacentral:rRNA from 1 species